AGAAGGAAUAGCGUUAGUGUUCACACCAACUCGUCAGACAUCGUGUUAAGUGUCGCAGUGCUCUAGUGACGUGAGCCUCAGCUUACAUAUACGUACUUUGCCGGCUGCUUAGAUGUGUGCAGGGCAAGAUUCCCACAAUUAAGGACCGGCGGCUCCCUAACUUCCUCCCGCGCCACGCCAGGAAACCUCGGUAAAGAUUCAUCAACGCCAAGCCAGAUAAACAUCACACCAGCUUUGCAAACCCAUCUGUUUUACAUCCUGCCGCCAGCUCCCCUCCGUGUUAAAACAUUGGAUUCGAGUCGAGGGCCCCAUUUCUGUAAAUUUCUGGCAACAGGAGGGACACUGACCAAGGGCAACAAAAAUUCAAUAAAUAAAAAAAGCCCACUGAGAUAUAUACCAGUGCAGCGUCCGUCAAGGGUUUCAUACUGGCGAUCAGAAAGACAAAAAGCAUUCUGAGUGACUGAUUGAUUAAGAAGCUUGUUAACGAAGAUGGAUGCAGAAUAUAAGACAUCAUAGCUGC